GACGAACGCUGGCGGCGUGCUUAACACAUGCAAGUCGAACGAAGAGCGAUGGAAGCUUGCUUCUAUCAAUCUUAGUGGCGAACGGGUGAGUAACGCGUAAUCAACCUGCCCUUCAGAGGGGGACAACAGUUGGAAACGACUGCUAAUACCGCAUACGAUCUAAUCUCGGCAUCGAGGAUAGAUGAAAGGUGGCCUCUACAUGUAAGCUAUCACUGAAGGAGGGGAUUGCGUCUGAUUAGCUAGUUGGAGGGGUAAAGGCCCACCAAGGCGAUGAUCAGUAGCCGGUCUGAGAGGAUGAACGGCCACAUUGGGACUGAGACACGGCCCAGACUCCUACGGGAGGCAGCAGUGGGGAAUCUUCCGCAAUGGACGAAAGUCUGACGGAGCAACGCCGCGUGAGUGAUGACGGCCUUCGGGUUGUAAAGCUCUGUUAAUCGGGACGAAAGGCCUUCUUGCGAAUAGUGAGAAGGAUUGACGGUACCGGAAUAGAAAGCCACGGCUAACUACGUG
rnacentral:rRNA from 1 species